ACCUCUGGCUCGUUCCAUAGCCCGUGGUCCGCGCUCCCUACAGUUACUUGACCUCAAGGAUUCAUACCCACCAUGGAGAGCUCUCAAGGCACUAAGGGACCCUAAAAGCAACCAUAUUGAAGGGAAACUCUUCUUAAAUGAUGACAUAUAGCAAGUUGGUAAAGUAUACCUUCUCGAACAAAGAUGCAACAAUUUCUUUUUCUCCCCACUUUGUCCUUCCAGAAUUAAAAACUCUUGGUCAGUAUUCUUACAUUUAUGACAAAAUAUUUGUAUACAUUCAACAACAACAACAAAAAAAAUCUGUUCUCCUUGUAACAGACUGCAAUGGAAAACACUGUACUACCAAGGCUGUGUCUAGGAUGUCAUAUUUAAGAAUGAUAUGCAUUGAAUCAGAUAUAACAGACAGCUUUAAGGAACUAAGGUUGACUUUAAGGAACCAAAGCUUACAAAAACACCCUUUCAAUUCUUUUGGUUGACCUGUGCAAAAAAACAAAUCUCCUAGGGAAUGAUAGUGUAUUAUUGCAGACAGCAUGGUGAUGACUGUACAGAUGUGCUUUUAUU